rnacentral:lncRNA from 1 species
UUGCAGGUUUCAAAUGUGCUUUCUGUGAGAAAGUCAAGAAGGUGCCACUCCCAGCCAAGGAUAAUCCUAAUCCCUGACUUCAGCUUCUUGCUAUCUACACCAUCUGUAAAGGUUACCUAUCCUUAGACAUGUUAGGUAGGUGGGACUAUUACAUCCUUAAGACAACCUGAACUUUCCUUACUUCUGCAUCCUAAGAGGAAAGGAUCAAGUCUGAGCAAGUAUUUAGUGAAUUCUUGGUAAAUGAAAAGCACUGAUCUACUAAGCAUUUUAGCCAUUGACAGAUGUAUUUUCAAACCAAGGCAUGCUCUGUCAGAAGACUACAAAAAUAUUACUGCUUCAGGGUAAUAGUCCUUCCUUUUAUAUAAAUGCACAAAUACAUGCAUGUGUGUGUGUGCACAUAUGCAUUUGAAGAUAAGUAUUUACCUGCUCCUGUUGUACGUCCUCGACUCCAAUCACUAUAUACUGAACCUCCUUCAUGCGAGGCUAUCACUCGAUACAGAAACCAUAUCAGUAACCAUAUGAUAUUUAAAAUCUUGAGAUCAAUUGUGUCGAGUAAAACAAAUUAAAUCAUGCCAGAUAAAAAUUAUGAAUUUUUCCAUAAAAGCAUCAUCUUCAGGAAGGACCUCAGGAUCCUUCCUGAGGAUGGUAUAACUUCGCGGGAGCCCUCCCAGAAAGACUCCUGUGUUAUCUCCAAUAACAGUACUACCAUUCAGGAUGGCAGAGGAACCUAGAGAAGAGGAGAUGAGAAAUACACCUUCACCAGGAUACUCUAGUUUUACUAGCUCAGCAAAUAAUAAAAUCCUUCACCAGCCUUUGGGAUACC